UAGGGAAUCUUCGGCAAUGGACGGAAGUCUGACCGAGCAACGCCGCGUGAGUGAAGAAGGUUUUCGGAUCGUAAAGCUCUGUUGUUAGAGAAGAACGUUGGUAGGAGUGGAAAAUCUACCAAGUGACGGUAACUAACCAGAAAGGGACGGCUAAGUNNGUGCCAGCAGCCGCGGUAAUACGUAGGUCCCGAGCGUUGUCCGGAUUUAUUGGGCGUAAAGCGAGCGCAGGCGGUUCUUUAAGUCUGAAGUUAAAGGCAGUGGCUUAACCAUUGUACGCUUUGGAAACUGGAGGACUUGAGUGCAGAAGGGGAGAGUGGAAUUCCAUGUGUAGCGGUGAAAUGCGUAGAUAUAUGGAGGAACACCGGUGGCGAAAGCGGCUCUCUGGUCUGUAACUGACGCUGAGGCUCGAAAGCGUGGGGAGCAAACAGGAUUAGAUACCCUGGUAGUCCACGCCGUAAACGAUGAGUGCUAGGUGUUAGGCCCUUUCCGGGGCUUAGUGCCGCAGCUAACGCAUUAAGCACUCCGCCUGGGGAGUACGACCGCAAGGUUG
rnacentral:rRNA from 1 species